AAUCAUGGCUCAGGAUGAACGCUAGCGACAGGCUUAACACAUGCAAGUCGAGGGGCAGCGGGGAGUAGCAAUACUUCGCCGGCGACCGGCGCACGGGUGAGUAACACGUGUGCAACCAACCCCGUACCGGGAGAUAACCCGCGGAAACGUGGACUAACAUCCCAUAAUACUGGAGGAUCGCAUGAUCUUUCAUUUAAAAUUCCGGUGGUACGGGACGGGCACGCGCGACAUUAGGUAGUUGGCGGGGUAAGGGCCCACCAAGCCG
rnacentral:rRNA from 1 species